rnacentral:lncRNA from 1 species
ACUUAUCCAUAUGCACACAAAGAAGCAAUACCAAAUUUAACACCUAUUUCAAUGACUUCCUGAUCCCCAACCAAGGUUCUGUAGUUCAUUUUCUUCUGAAGAGAGACCCUUUAGCCACUUCAUUAAUCAAAACCACUAAUUAUACUUUUAUUACAAUGUUUCAAAACAACAAAUACAUAAUCAUCUAUAUGACUCACUUUGACCUGCUUCCUACUUUUCAUAGAAUAAAAAUGGGGGACCUCUAAAAUGGGGGACCUCUAAAAAUGUUAUUUUCAACCUGAAAUCACAACUCAGUGGAAGGACUUCCUAAGUGUCCUCUUUAUGAUAUUAGCAUACAUUGAAGUUUCUUUUAAAUUUUUUCAAUGCAAUGUGCCUGAAGGACCAAAAAGGGACUUUCCCUUGGUCUAAGAUUCCCAGAACAGUUAAGCCCUUUGGCAUUUCUACUAAACAAAAGCUAAUUUUUGCUGUUUUGUCAUCAUGUGCUUGUUUUGCUCCUGUAUUGUUGCUGGUUUCACUACUAAAAACCAGCCUUAUGUAUUCUUGAAGAUUUCACAAUAUUUGUACUGUGUCAUAUUCCUCAAGUCCCUGACUGUUGGAACAAGAUGCUUCCUAUGGAAAUCUCACUCCUAAUCUAAAUGCUCACUUUGGUACAAGAGUUGGUUUGUCAUCUUGAAAAAAUGUAUGUAGCUUAGGCUUCAUAGAUGCUCUUGAGAGUGUAUUCCUCUCCAAACAGGAAAAAGAAACUUGGGUAUUUGGCAGUGCUUAUGAGGACGCGGCUGGUGGCACUAUUCUCUCCAAGCAACUAUUGAAUGGAUGCCCCAGGAUAAAAUUAGGAGUGCAGUGCUUGGCGCUGUGAAUCAUAUGAAACAAAAUAACCAAAACCCUAUGCUUCCAACCAAUUUAUAAAUCCACAGAUCCUUUGGAGGAGAGCAGUACCAUUUACCUCCUGUUACUUCAAUUUGGCAAAAGUAGCUCUCUCUUUGCUGGAUUUUCUAUUCUGUUGUAUUGUAUAGUAACAAUAAAUAGCUAGAAUUAUAAUGGUACCUGUUUCUAAAGACCCUAAUGGAAUUUACGAUUUUUUUCCUGUUUAAAAAAAUCUUUUCUCCAAUGUCAUACAUCUUCCACAGAGCACUGUGAUUUUAAGUUUAGUCACGUGGAAACUUGUCACAAAAAGAAAAACUAGUGAAGUUUCUAAUUAAUCCUAAUUAUAACACCUAAAAUUGAUUGUUUUUUAUAUAUCAGCACUUACAUACAUGAUCAUUAAUCCCAAAGCUCUGCAAGGAGGCUAUUAGCUGCUUAUACUUCUUAGGGAAUGGAGACUCAGAGAGAAUAAGUAAUUUGGCCAGUCAUUCUAUUCUCUAGUGGUAGAGACAGAACUCAAACCAAAGACCUUUUUACUCCAAAGUUCAUAAAUUUUCUAUUACUACUUAUAGCUCCACCCCACACCCCAAUGUGGUAAUAAAUAUUGCUUAACUAUCUUUAUAGAUUAAAAAAAAAAAAGCCCUGUUGUACAUAGCAUUUGCUUGUUUCUCUGUUGUAAAUACAUCCCCCAUGGUCAAUUUCAAGCUACUGAAGAACAUGGAGUCGGAAAUAAAUGUUAGUCAAUUGGCUGUUGGGGUCUUUGUUGUUAAGUGACUCCAGCACAAACUGGAUCACAAGUUAAACAUUUUCCUUCCAUAUUUAUGAUGUAAUUUUGUGUUUCUUUGCUGUAGAGCUUUCAACUCUGGUAACCAGGAAUGCAUUCCACUGAUCCAUUGAAAUUAACACUUCCAGGAAUACUACCGAAUUAUAGAGUUGUUUCUGCUUUAUAAGAAAGGCAAUCAUAUAUAUGAGAAGGCAUACCAGAAAAGGAAUGAGAACUGAUAUUCAGUUGAAGUUCCAAAUCUGCCACUUGCAGACUGGAAUAGGAAAGGUACUGGAAAACAUUUAUCUCUUCAAACCUUGGCUCUCUCAUCAUGCAAAGGUAAACAGUAAUCCCUGUCUUGACUGCCUUCAAGGUGAGUAACAUGAAAGAUAAUUCAUCCUGAAAUAUUUUAUAACUAAUAACAUGAAAAACAAUAUAGAAUAUAUUCUAUAUAUGGAAUAUAAUUGAUAUUUAUCAUAUUCUCUAGUCCUUUGGGUUAGUCUGUCACACAUUCAUAUCCUUUUACAUAACAAUGAUUUAGUUUCAUCUACAUAAUAUUGAGAGUAUAUCUCACAUGAUACGGACUCUGCAGACCUUAAGAAUAAAAUAGAAGUGACUACUUUUUUUUACUCCUCUAGUUUUUUUUUUUAACUCCUCUAGGCCAAUACUUGCAACAUAAUGUAACUACAAGUGCUGUUAAUGUACCUUCUAACAUUGUGCCUAUUAAUUCCACCAGAAUUGAACAAGCAUUUUUAUUACCAAAUUGGAACAGAAACAGGGCAUUAACAGUGGGAACACCAUGAAAUGACAAGAAGAAUGAGCACAAAAACAUGCUCUCCUCUUUUUUGCAUUUUUAUUUAACUUACAUGCUGGUUUUGUUUUUGGCCCCUUAAUAUACACUAAGCAUAUCCAUAAAGAAGAAGAGGUAGCUGAAAUCAAAAGCAUCUUGUGUAUUUGCAAUCUAUCUUCACUCUCAGAUUCAGAUUAUUUCCACUAUAUUAAGGAGUUUAUUUAUCAGUAUAAUCUUUGCUCAUCAGAAACGUGUUGUGCGUAUUUGUGUGUAUGUGUGUAGGCUGCCAAUUCCCAUUUAGCCAUUUAGAUUUGGCAGCUUGAUUUUGUUCUAUCAUUGCAAGUUUAGACCCCCUUCAUCUCUUCACAAAAUGGCUUUCGUUGUUCUGCUUUGCCCUGUGAACAUUGUUCGACUUCUAUCUAUCUAACAAAGAAUGGAGAUAAGAUAUCUGUCCUGACUAUAGCCAGGCUGGAGAUGGUAACCCAAUGGGAAGACCACCAGACUAUUAGAAGGCAGCAAGAUUGGUGAGGCUUGUCUUCAACAGAGUACAAACAAAAAGACUCACUUUGUGAUACUCAAUUGCAAGUCUAAGAAUGUGAGCACCUGAAAAAUGUCAUGCUGUGAACAUUAGCCCCUUGGUUUCUGACACUAUAUUAUGCCAGCUUCCCUACUGGAAUUUAAUUUUCUCUUCCACACACCAAUUCCAAGCUCUCUGACCAUUUGUCAGUUAUGAAUAGUUCUAGUGGAGUUGCUCCCAGGAUUUCUCUUAAGAAUCAUGUUUUCCAUUUUUUCACAAAUUCACAUGCAGAUAUUCAGAUUUAUAGUAUUCAAAUGUAGCAAGUGAAUAGGUGAGUAGGUGACUGGAUUAGCACUCAAUCUAAUCAUCCACUGAGACUCAGCCUUUGCAGUAAAAGAAGAUCUUGAUUUCCUAAUUAAAUUUCUUUUAAAAAUAGUGGUAUUUCCAAUAGAUAAUGACUUUUGUUCUCUGUUUCAGAGAGAGAGAGAGGUAAACAAAAAGUGAUAAUCAAGAAUCAGAAGCCAUACUCCUUGAUAGUAUGACUCUGUUGAGAAAUUAACAAGCUGAGAUGUUUCAGUAUCUUGUUGGUUUCAAUUUUUUUUCUUAUUUUGAAAUAAUAAAUAUCUACAAAACUAUAUGGUUUAUAAAGGAAGAAAUACUAUGUAGUCAGUGUUCAGCAUACUUAUAUUACAAUUAUCUAGCAUAUAAUAGACACAUAGUAUAUGGUGCACUAGGAUACUGUAUUAAUUUGCUAGGGCUGCCAUAACAAAAUACCAUGGACUUAGUGACUUAAAUAGCAAAAGUUUAUUUUCACUUAGGCCUGGAGAUUAGAAGUUCAAGAUGAAGGUAUUGGCAGGUUUGGUUUCUCCUAAGGCCUCUCUCUUCAGCUUGUAGACAGUCACCUUCUCACAGUCUCUUUACAUCAUCUUUUCUCUGUGCACAUGCAAACUAGUGUCUGUUCCUCUUCUAAUAAGGACAUCAGUCCUACCAAAUUAUGUCCCCACCCGUGUGACCUCAUUUAACCUUAAUUACUUCUUUAAAGGCCCUCUCUCCAAUAAUAUCUACAUUGGGUGUUAGGGUAAACCAGUGAAUUUGGGGGGAAACACAAUUCAGUUCUUUUAACAGGUACUUUCUCAAAAUAUGUCCCCUAGACAUUUGAUUAUUGUUCAUAUUCAGAUUUUCAGACUUGAAUCAAGCCAUUUUUAAUUAAAAUGGUUUGUGUGAAGCUUGAAAAUAAGAAAUAUUAAUAGCAAUAAAAUGUGGUGAUUUUGCUCAAUAAAAGUGGAAAUAUCUGUUAUAGGAGUAAUAUAUGGGCCAAUUAGAUCC